rnacentral:rRNA from 1 species
UACGUAGGGUGCGAGCGUUAAUCGGAAUUACUGGGCGUAAAGCGUGCGCAGGCGGUUUUGUAAGCCAGAUGUGAAAUCCCCGGGCUUAACCUGGGAAUGGCAUUUGGGACUGCAAGGCUUGAGUGCGGCAGAGGAGACUGGAAUUCCUGGUGUAGCAGUGAAAUGCGUAGAUAUCAGGAGGAACACCGAUGGCGAAGGCAGGUCUCUGGGCUGACACUGACGCUCAUGCACGAAAGCCAGGGGAGCGAACGGG